rnacentral:rRNA from 1 species
GACGAACGCUGGCGGCGUGCCUAAUACAUGCAAGUCGGACGCAGUUGCGAACGGGUGAGUAACGCGUAGGUAACUCAAUACUAGAGGGGGAUAACUAAUGGAAACGAUAGAUAAUACAGCAUACUCGUAGAUGGAUCUGCGCUGUAUUAGCUAGUAUGUAGGGUAAUGGCCUACCUAGGCAACGAUACAUAGCCGGCCUGGGAGGGUGGUUGGCCACCCGUGGACGUGGAAACGGCCCAGGAUCCCUCGGGAGGCAGCCGUAGGGGAACUUCGGCAAUGGGGGGAACGCUUGACGAGCAACGCCGCGUGAGUUGAGAAGGUUUUCGGAUCGUAAAGCUCUGUUUGUUAGGAAGCGGUACUUAACCAGAAAGGGACGGCUAACUACGUGCCAGCAGCCGCGGUAAUAC